GCGUGCGCAGUGUCCGUGUAGGAGCUUCCGGUGGAGGACCUUGUUUUGGCUCCACGAAGUUGGGCUGGCGACGUGGGCGCUCUUGGCUUCGGGCGGGCGGUCUCUCGGGGUCCACAUGAGCCAAUGGCAUCGUGCCCACAGCCGCUGGGGCCGGGGACGCGCCUCUUCUGGACGUUCGUCGGCCAAGAAGAAGGGCGGGAACCACAUCCCCGAAAGGUGGCAAGACUAUCUCCCUGUUGGACGGAGGAUGCCUGGGACUCCAACGUUGCUUUCAAACUUCCUUUAAAAAAGAGGUGAGACACCAUGGGCUCUGUGAAUCUACAAAGAUUGGGAAACUCCAAGUUCGGAGGUUGUCCCAGUAAUCCAGGCAGGAAAUGAUGGAGACUUGGACUAUAGUGGAAGUGGAGGAAAAUGGUCAGAAGUGGACAAGUCCUUGAUACAAUGUGAAGGUAAGGCAGAUGGAAUUUGCUGAUGAUCUGGAUGAAUUGAUGGAGAGUGUAAGAAAGGAGUCAUAUGAUUUCAAAGAUUUCCGGACUGAGCAACUUGGGAAAUGGCAUUACCAUGAAUUGAGAUGAAGAAAACUGCAUGGAUCAGUUGUUUGUUUUGUUUGUGUAUAUGUUUGGCUGGGGAGGAGGGCAGAUGGGAGAUGCAGUUUUGUACAUGUCUAAAAAAGAAGAUAAAAGAAGAAGAGAGGGAAUGAAAAGGUACACAUUCCUGACCAGUGGCUGCCUACAGACUCUCCCCCUGCCCACAGGUUCAUUCCCCUCUCAUGGUGGCCAAAUGUCCCUCUACCCAUGAGCUUUUCAGGUAGCUGUGUUUUGCCUUCUUAUUCAAACCAUGAUCCGAGCAAAUACAAGCAUGAGGUGCCACCUUAGACAGAAGAGACUCAGAAAGCCUUGUCUGACCCAGAGUUCUACGAGGGUAGGGCAGAUGGGCUCUGCAGCUCUGCUUUGGGGGACUGAUAAUUUCAGGGCUGUCAGAUUUAAAAUAAUCAUGUCAAAGGAUGAGCAGAUUUUAAGGAAGAUAGAGGCAGUGGCAUUGCUUUUUAAUUUCCCCAAACCCUCUGAUGGCAUUAGAUAAAUCCAAACUAAACGCCCAUGGGUAGCAUUUACCAGGAAAGUAGAAGCCCCAAAGUAAGAGGGUGGAGCAGACAACCACCAGCGGGCACAGACCUGCCUGGUCUCAGCAUCGCACCAGAGGGAGUGUCCGACAGGAGGAAGCAUCUGAUGGGCGUGAGCACAGGAGGCCUUCACAGUGCCAGCAGUCAUCACCUGAGAGCACUGCGGGCCAAGCUGAGAACAGCAGCUGAGACUGGGAGGGGCUUUUUCCAGUCCCAACGUCAGUAAAUACUUUGGGGAGAUUCAAAAACUGGCCUGCUCCCUCCAUCUUUAUGAAGUCCUGCUCUGACAUUUGACAUCAUUAUAUUAAUUUUAGAUGGUAGUGAUGGUUGCACAAUAUAAUGAAUGUACUUACUGUGACUGAAUUGUAUGGUUAAAAUGGUAAAUUGUGUGUUAGUGUUAUACAUAUUUUACUGUUGUAAGGAAAGAUGAAAGAACUACAUAAAUCAGCACUAGGUAAAAUGAUAGAACUCAACAGAAUCAACAAUAAAAAAUUUUCGGGCCCUGA